ACCUUAAAACUAGCCUAACCACCGUUAAUUAGCUUCAAUAUUACUAAUAAACUAUAUUAAUAUUUUUGUACUUAAAACAUUUUCACAAUCCCAGUAUAGGCGAUAGAACAGAAACACUUAGCGCUAUAGAAAGAGUACCGCAAGGGAAAGCUGAAAAAGAACUGAAACAAAUCAUUAAAGUAAUAAAAAGCAAAGAUUCACCCCUGUACCUUUUGCAUCAUGAUUUAGUAAGAACAAGUGGGCAAAAAGACCUUAAGUCCACCUUCCCGAAACUAGACGAGCUACUUCGGAGCAGCGUACUAGAGCCAACCCGUCUCUGUGGCAAAAGAGUGGGAAGACUCCCAAGUAGAGGUGAUAAGCCUACCGAGUCUAGUGAUAGCUGGUUACCCAAAAAAAGAACUUAAAUUCUGCAAUAAUUAUUCACCCAAUCAAAUAAGAUUAUCUCCAUAAGAUAACUUGUAAGAAUUAUUAGUUAUUCUAAAGAGGUACAACUCUUUUGAAUUAAGAAACAACUUUAUUAGGAGGGUAACGAUCAUAUUAUUAAAGGACCCCACCUCAGUAGGCCUAAAAGCAGCCAUCUGAUCAGCAAGCGUCAUAGCUCCAGCCCUAAACCAACCAAUAAUUCCGAUAUAUUUUUCCAAACCCCCUAACCAAUAUUGGGUUUUUUUAUCUUUCAAUUGAUAAAAGAACUUAUACUAAAAUGAGUAAUUAGAGGACUAACCUCUCCAAAACACCCGUGUAAGUCAGAAAGAAUCCAAUCACUGAUUAUUAACCGACACCAACCUGAGGCCAUAAUAUUAAGAAUAGUAAACUAGAAAAACACAUUUAUUAUAUCGUUAACCCUACACAGGAGUGUUCAUAGGAAAGAUUUAAAGAAAAUAAAGGAACUCGGCAAACACAAACUCCGCCUGUUUACCAAAAACAUCGCCUCUUGCAAACCCUGUAUAAGAGGUCCCGCCUGCCCUGUGACAUUGUUUAACGGCCGCGGUAUUAUGACCGUGCGAAGGUAGCGUAAUCACUUGUCUUUUAAUUGAAGACCUGUAUGAAAGGCAUCACGAGAGUUUACCUGUCUCUAUUUUCUAAUCAAUGAAAUUGAUUUCCCCGUGCAGAAGCGGGGAUAUAGUCAUAAGACGAGAAGACCCUAUGGAGCUUUAAACACUUAAGUUACUAUCUUACUUAUCAAUUAAUCUAAAGACCUAACCUACUCUAAUAGUAGCCUAACUUAAUGUUUUCGGUUGGGGCGACCAAGGAGUAAAAGAAAACCUCCUUAUCGAUUGAGUAUUUUUACUUAAAAACCAGAACGACAGUUCUGAUCAAUAGAAUAUCUAACGAAUAAUGACCCAGGGCUACACCCUGAUCAAUGAACCAAGUUACCCUAGGGAUAACAGCGCAAUCCUUUCUAAGAGUCCAUAUCGCCGAAAGGGUUUACGACCUCGAUGUUGGAUCAGGACAUCCUAAUGGUGCAACCGCUAUUAAGGGUUCGUUUGUUCAACGAUUAAUAGUCCUACGUGAUCUGAGUUCAGACCGGAGUAAUCCAGGUCAGUUUCUAUCUAUGAAGAUAUUUUCCCUAGUACGAAAGGACCGGGAGAAUGAAGCCCAUGCCCCAGGCACGCUUCUCCCCCAUCUGUUGAAAUUAACUUAAACAGCAAAGGGGGAUUAACCUUCUACUAAAGAUUAUAGUUA
rnacentral:rRNA from 1 species